rnacentral:lncRNA from 1 species
AGGGAUGUUGACUCCGGCAACGUAACCCGUUGACUCAUCGGAACCCAUUAAAUAACCGGAUCCCUCACUUACAACCCGUAACCCAGACCCGACCCGACUCAUCCUUCUUUCUGUUGGGCCUAACACUUAAUGGGCCUAAUUAUUAAACAAAUCCGGCCCAUUUAUAUAUGACCAUAAUCGAUUAACGAUUCAUCAUCUCUUCCCCAAAUCUGAGAAAUCGAUUUUUUAGGGUUCUUGGUGUUCAUCGUGAAAAGUUGAUUGAAGAAGGAGAGAGAGAAGAUGGACACAAGCUCGGGAUCUUCCUGUAGCAAUCGGAGUAGAUAUGGAGGUGGACAAGUUUGUGACUGUGGAUUGGCGGCAAAGAUUUUCAAAUCCAAAACGGAGCGUAAUCCAAAUCGAAGGUUCUAUGGAUGUGAGUUGUACAAGGUAUAUCUCGUAAGUGAUUCAUAACAAUCUUGAGGUGAUGAGAUUUGACACAUAUGGAGUCGUUUGAUUAAGUUGUUUACCUCAUCGGAACAAGAAUUCACUCGCGACUUUUUCUUCUCUCUCGGUUUAAAGCAACGAUUACCAGAUUACUCUUCUCUACAUAUGAUUUCAAGCAACAUUUACUCUCGGAAAAAAAAACCCUAGGUGAAAUGGAGAUUUCGUCUUCACCCAGAUCAUAAAACGCACCCACUCGUAAUGGAUGAGAAACAUUUUACGGAUUAGGGUUACGGCAAAUUUGAUGGGCUGGAUUUGUGGGUUAAUUGGGCCCAUUAAGUUUCAGGUCCAGCAAAAAGAAGGAUGGGUCGGGUCUGGGUUAUGGGUCGUAAUUGAGGGAUCCGGUUAUUUAAUGGGUUCCGAUGAGUCAACGGGUUACGUUGCCGGAGUCAACGUCCCUGUGUUCUGAGAUUUUAUGGUGAUGGUGUUUAACACAUAACGU